UGGGGAAUUGUUCGCAAUGGGCGCAAGCCUGACGACGCAACGCCGCGUGGAGGAUGAAGGUCUUCGGAUUGUAAACUCCUGUUGAUCGGGAAGAAUGUCUUUGGGGCCAAUACCCCCGAAGAGUGACGGUACCGGUUGAGGAAGCCCCGGCUAACUCUGUGCCAGCAGCCGCGGUAAUACAGAGGGGGCAAGCGUUGUUCGGAAUUACUGGGCGUAAAGGGCGCGUAGGCGGCCAACUAAGUCAGACGUGAAAUCCCCUGGCUCAACCAGGGAACUGCGUCUGAUACUGGAUGGCUCGAGUUCGGGAGAGGGAAGUGGAAUUCCAGGUGUAGCGGUGAAAUGCGUAGAUAUCUGGAGGAACACCGGUGGCGAAGGCGGCUUCCUGGACCGACACUGACGCUGAGGCGCGAAAGCCAGGGGAGCAAACGGGAUUAGAUACCCCGGUAGUCC
rnacentral:rRNA from 1 species